AUCUUCUGUGAUAUUUACUCUGCUAUCAAAGGGAAUUGCAAAAUCUCUGAUCUUACACUGUUUGUUUAUUUUGUCCUCUAUGAACAUAUCCAGUCUUCUUGUUUCAAUAGUAUAGUCAGUCUUUAUGGGGAAAUCCCACAAGAUCUUGUAAUUCUCAUUUUCUAUCACAGCCUCUGGUCUGUGUUCA